rnacentral:rRNA from 1 species
GAUGAACGCUGGCGGCGUGCCUAAUACAUGCAAGUCGAGCGAACGGACGAGAAGCUUGCUUUUCUGAUGUUAGCGGCGGACGGGUGAGUAACACGUGGAUAACCUACCUAUAAGACUGGGAUAACUUCGGGAAACCGGAGCUAAUACCGGAUAAUAUUUUGAACCGCAUGGUUCAAAAGUGAAAGACGGUCUUGCUGUCGCUUAUAGAUGGAUCCGCGCUGCAUUAGCUAGUUGGUAAGGUAACGGCUUACCAAGGCAACGAUGCAUAGCCGACCUGAGAGGGUGAUCGGCCACACUGGAACUGAGACACGGUCCAGACUCCUACGGGAGGCAGCAGUAGGGAAUCUUCCGCAAUGGGCGAAAACCUGACGGAGCAACGCCGCGUGAGUGAUGAAGGUCUUCGGAUCGUAAAACUCUGUUAUUAGGGAAGAACAUAUGUGUAAGUAACUGUGCACAUCUUGACGGUACCUAAUCAGAAAGCCACGGCUAACUACGUG